GUGCUCACUUUGGCAGCACGUAUACUAAAAUUGGAAUGAUACAGAAAGAAGAUUAGCAUGGCCCUUGCACAAGGAUGACAUGCAAAUUCAUGAAGCCUUCCAUAUUUCU
rnacentral:snRNA from 1 species